ACCUAGGCAAUCUUUAGCUUUGUCUCGUGCUCUGCCUCGAAAACAUUUUGCCAGCUCAACCGUUUAUUCUUUUUCUUCCUUUAUUUUUUUCCUGUACCUUUCUAUAUCCUUAUCUAUCAAUUUUGUGGUAUCUGUUCUACUUACUUGCGUCACAUUUAUUCCUUGAUAUUUCUAAAAAAAUGUGUAGGAAUGCGGGCACACGAAGCAAGCAGGCGGAUAAAGCGAGGCUGUCUGGCAGCGGGUCAGAGCUUCAAGACUUCAGCGACGGUCCGGCCUCUGUCCUACCUCCAGCCUGCGGUCUUCGCUCGUCCUGCUGACAUCUCACUGAAGUUAUUCCCAGCAUGCAGAUACGUCUACCCCAUGCCAGUCAUCCCAGCCAGCCAUUCCAGAGCACCUGCCGUACGCGGGCCCCCAGACAGUCCCGGCGGGUAUGCCCGGGAGCACGAUGGUUGUGCCCGAGUAGGACCAGCCCAUGAAGGGAGACCGUCAGCCAAUGAAUCAAGGAGAGCAUCUUCAAAUACAUCCCGAGGAUGAGGCAACCGUUCAGCCCACGACCCCCACACCAGCACGGCUCCUAUGCCAGGCACCCGUCCAGCCCACGUCACCCGAGCCCCCUGCCGUAGCACGUAGAAGUUCACGACAGCGGCACCAAGCUGUUCGUUACGAGUCGGAG